ACACUCCUACGGGAGGCAGCAGUGGGGAAUUUUGGACAAUGGGCGAAAGCCUGAUCCAGCAAUGCCGCGUGAGUGAAGAAGGCCUUCGGGUUGUAAAGCUCUUUUGUCAGGGAAGAAACGGUGAGAGCUAAUAUCUUUUGCUAAUGACGGUACCUGAAGAAUAAGCACCGGCUAACUACGUGCCAGCAGCCGCGGUAAUACGUAGGGUGCAAGCGUUAAUCGGAAUUACUGGGCGUAAAGAGUGCGCAGGCGGUUUUGUAAGUCUGAUGUGAAAUCCCCGGGCUCAACCUGGGAAUUGCAUUGGAGACUGCAAGGCUAGAAUCUGGCAGAGGGGGGUAGAAUUCCACGUGUAGCAGUGAAAUGCGUAGAUAUGUGGAGGAACACCGAUGGCGAAGGCAGCCCCCUGGGUCAAGAUUGACGCUCAUGCACGAAAGCGUGGGGAGCAAACAGGAUUAGAAACCCGGGUAGUCCC
rnacentral:rRNA from 1 species